GCACCUCUUCACAACGGAUCGUUCGGCACGUACCUGCCGAUGGAGGACAAUAA
rnacentral:ncRNA from 1 species